GUGAAAUCCCCGAGCUUAACUUGGGAAUUGCAUUCGAUACUGGUUAGCUAGAGUGUGGGAGAGGAUGGUAGAAUUCCAGGUGUAGCGGUGAAAUGCGUAGAGAUCUGGAGGAAUACCGAUGGCGAAGGCAGCCAUCUGGCCUAACACUGACGCUGAGGUGCGAAAGCAUGGGGAGCAAACAGGAUUAGAUACCCUGGUAGUCCAUGCCGUAAACGAUGUCUACUAGCCGUUGGGGCCUUUGAGGCUUUAGUGGCGCAGCUAACGCGAUAAGUAGACCGCCUGGGGAGUACGGUCGCAAGACUAAAACUCAAAUGAAUUGACGGGGGCCCGCACCAGCGGUGGAGCAUGUGGUUUAAUUUGAUGCAACGCGAAGAACCUUACCUGGCCUUGACAUAGUAAGAACUUUCCAGAGAUGGAUUGGUGCCUUUGGGAACUUACAUACAGGUGCUGCAUGGCUGUUGUCAGCUCGUGUCGUGAGAUGUUGGGUUAAGUCCCGCAACGAGCGCAACCCUUUUCCUUAUUUGCCAGCGAGUAAUGUCGGGAACUUUAAGGAUACUGCCAGUGACAAACUGGAGGAAGGCGGGGACGACGUCAAGUCAUCAUGGCCCUUACGGCCAGGGCUACACACGUGCUACAAUGGUCGGUACAAAGGGUUGCUACACAGCGAUGUGAUGCUAAUCUCAAAAAGCCGAUCGUAGUCCGGAUUGGAGUCUGCAACUCGACUCCAUGAAGUCGGAAUCGCUAGUAAUCGCGGAUCAGAAUGCCGCGGUGAAUACGUUCCCGGGCCUUGUACACACCGCCCGUCACACCAUGGGAGUUUGUUGCACCAGAAGUAGCUAGCCUAACUGCAAAGAGGGCGGUUACCACGGUGUGGCCGAUGACU
rnacentral:rRNA from 1 species